rnacentral:SRP_RNA from 1 species
GCUGGGUGUGGUGGGGGCGCCUGUAAUCCCAGCUACUGAGGAGGCUGAGGCAGGAGAAUCACUUGAAUCUAGGAGGUGGAGGUUGCAGUGAGCUGAGAUCACGCCACUGCACUCCAGCCUGGGUGACAGAGUGAGACUCUGCCUCAG